UACGUAGGGUGCAAGCGUUAAUCGGAAUUACUGGGCGUAAAGCGUGCGCAGGCGGUUGUGCAAGACAGAUGUGAAAUCCCCGGGCUUAACCUGGGAAUUGCAAUGGAUACUGGCAGGCUGGAGUAUGGUAGAGGAAGGUGGAAUUCCCGGUGUAGCAGUGAAAUACGUAGAGAUUGGGAAGAACACCAGUGGCGAAGGCGGCUAUCUGGACGGUUACUGACGCUAAGACUCGAAAGCGUGGGGAGCAAACAGG
rnacentral:rRNA from 1 species